rnacentral:misc_RNA from 1 species
GAUGAAGAACGCAGCGAAAUGCGAUAAGUAAUGUGAAUUGCAGAAUUCAGUGAAUCAUCGAAUCUUUGAACGCACAUUGCGCCCGCCAGUAUUCUGGCGGGCAUGCCUGUUCGAGCGUCAUUUCAACCAUCAAGCCCCCGGCUUGUGUUGGGGACCUGCGGCUGCCGCAGGCCCUGAAAAGCAGUGGCGGGCUCGCUGUCACACCGAGCGUAGUAGCAUACAUCUCGCUCUGGGCGUGCUGCGGGUUCCGGCCGUUAAACCACCUUCAUAACCCAAGGAUGACCUCGGAUCAGGUAGGAAGACCCGCUGAACUUAAGCAUAUCAAUAAGCGGAGGA